rnacentral:lncRNA from 1 species
CUUGAUACCUGUUCCUCCUCAGCUAUUUUUCAUUAUCACCCAUUAAUGUCACCCAACAUGGAGAGCAAUGAUUGUCUGAAACCGCUGGGGACAGGUUAGGCCGUGCUCUCUGCCUAUAAGUGCCAUCCAGGCUUGAUAAGAUUGUGUGAGUUUCAAAUUAUCAAUGUUCUGGUUUGGGCACUAGUAAGAGGACCAUUUUUGGAUAGCAAGAAAAUAUCUGGUACCAGGGUCCGGUUAUGGGAACCAGAAAGAUGUCUGGUUCUGGUAACAGGAAGAUGCCUGGUUCUGGGUACCAGAAAGAUGCCUGGUUCUGGGUACCAGGAAGAGGUCUGGUUCUGGGUACCAGGAAGAGGUCCAGCUCAGAGCAAACUGUUCCUAAAUAGUUUUAAAUGAAACCAAGGACUCUAAACAGGGGCACUCUAAACAACAUAACCAAUGCAGUGAGUUGUAGUGCUUCUAUUUUCUAUCCGUCAACUGUGCGGACAUAGCCUAAAAGUAUCGAAACAUUAUCUCUCUUAGUGUUUUCAUUAAAGAAUCAAAGUACAGCUUUUUAAUCACCCACGUAUUGUGCCAAGUGAUAAUGGAUGAAUGAAUUCUCGUGGACUUGCCCUUUGAACUCAGCAUUAGCCUCUGGUUGCUAAGAUCAAGCUGAAUUAGUUCCAACUCAGUCUGUGUUCAUUGGAGCUUCUUCAGAUCACUUGGGCAUGAAGCAAGUGAAUUUUCUGCUGGGCUCAACUUUUUAAUUGUAUGAGGAGUUAAUCUCCGGUUAAACCAGCAGGGUCCUUGCAUUUUUUUUAGCAAAUCAUGAAUUCUUCUUAUUUUCACAGGCAAGUUCUGAAGCAUAUAUCUGAGUUUCAGCACGAUAACUCUAAUUACAGCUUGCUAUCUUGUUAAGUCAAACUUCAGGAUGUGUGAUUAACUAUUUACAAUUGAUGUGGGUGUUAGCUAGCACAGUGAAGGCUGGGUAUCCUAUACCUCCAUUUUUUAAGAAACGUAUGAUUCCUUCAUCCUUUCGGUCAGUACUUGAAUGUUUUGGCACAAAGUAUAAUUUGUAUGUUCCCUGUGUGAAAUUAAUUAAAGGGUUACUCAGAGAACCAUGACCACUUCAGUGAUUUGCAGUGGUCAUGGUACCAGAAGUCUGUACGAGCAGUGCUUUUGCCGUAUGCUGCAGGAAGUGUAAUUCCACCUCUGGCAGUGUCAUUAUGGCAUCAUUAUUGCACAAUUCACACAAUUGCAUUCAAAUGCCAAGAUGGGACAGCUCAAGCUUUCAGCCAAUAAACGGCCCAUGUGAGCGACUUACAGCAUUUGCAGAUCUGUAGAUGCUGGAUGUCAUUAACAGCCAUUAAGGAGCCCAGUGGGGACCAAGGUAAGAGUGUAACCAUUGUGAAAUGUUCUUCCCCAUUACCAAGGAACUCAUAGCUUCGUAAUCACUGCAGGUGGCUGUAGUAGUUACGUUGCCUGGAGAGACCUUUUAAUUGGCCAUGGAGGGAUCCCAAAGAAAUAUUCUCCCAGGCAAAAAAACAAAUGCUAUAAGUGCAGCCAUGGUGAUAACUAACCCCUGGAGCACUGAUUUUUGUGGACAGUAUUUCCCGUGAUGAAUUAUGGGAAGAAUUGUCCACAGCAGAAUGAGGAUAUUGCAAUAUUGAUGUGGUGCAAAGCUGCUUUGUAAAAAUUGUAAGAAUGUGUUACUAUAUAUUUGUGAAGUGACAGGAUAGGAUUUAUCGUCGACGUUUCAUGUGCAGUUUCAUUGCCGGCCCCGCAGGUUGGUUGUAAAUAACUAUGUAUGGAUCCCAUCUGCUGCAGCAAUGAUUAUUACUGUAUACUAAAGAUAGCCUUGAGCAGCUGUAAUUUAUAAUACACGGCCGAGCAGUCGGCCAUGCUGAUGUUACUGAGUAAACAUUCUCCGCUGUGUAUAAUAGAAUGAAUAUAAUGCAAUGAACUCUUCAUCAAAAUGUGCAGUAUUUAAGAUCAGCAAUUCUACCCGCCGCCUGCAUCUAAAUAUAAUGUCUUCAGGCGAUUUUCUGAUGAUGUCAUAUUCCUUGUCUAGUACUUUAGCCUGGCAAAUUAUAUGUUUUAACGCUCUGUGUGCUACAGAGGGUUAGAAAGUUUCCAUUUGAAUUUUGGCUUAUGCAAAAGGCAAAUAAAGUUCUCUUGCCUUUAAUUAACAUUUGGGUGCCAGAACCUUGGCUAACCUUGGCCCAAUUCACCAGCAUUGUAAAAAGUCAAUUGCAUCAACCAUUCAAAUAUUACAGAUGAACAGAGGUUGAUGAGUAACCAGAAAUUGUGUUGCAAAGUUGCAGGAAUUUUCCGGCUUGAACUAAUGUUUGCAAAAACCCUUGUUAAUAUUCUACCAUUGCCUAAUUAGUCAAUAAACCCUCUUUUUGAACCAACAAAACGGCCCCAGAGUAUUUGGUAUGUGAAAUGUGCACUGCUAUGAAACAGUUAAUUGGCUGCAUAAACCUACCUUUCUAAAGGAAUGUAGACUUUUAGAAUAAGAGUUAUAUUUUGCCAGCAUGGGCACAUAUGUGGAGGGCAAGUCAGUGCUUCAAAUUUCAGUCAAAGGCAAAAGAAUAUUCGUAACUAUUCAGCUGGCUGGCCACCAGGAAUCGUGCCCAACCCCAGGGUUAGUCAUGGCUAAUAUGAGGACAAUAAAGUGAGCCACUGCGUUGUUUUACAAUGAAAAUGAAUAUUUAAAUGGCUGUGUAUCAUGGCUAUAGUUCCACACCAUUUCCUCUCAUUUAAUUCAUUUGUGAUUUCUACAUUUAUUGUUGAUACAUUCUUGCUAAUUUUGGCAAAAAUGUUGAUGUGACGAGUGGAGGUCAGACAGUGGCAGCUGGUGGGGUUCUUAAAUCUUCUCCUGGAAUUUGACUCUACUCGCUGAUGCUGUUACCCAAUAUCAGACGUAGACAGGACAAUGCACAGCCAAUGGGUGAUGUCAUAAAUGAUCUCAGAGCAGUCUAAGCAUGUCUGAGCGAUUUGUACUCAGAGAACGGGGCUUUCUUUUCCAAAAUGCCUCUAAAUAUUGACAUUAUCAGCUUCACUUACUCUCUAUAUUCUCUCUUAUCUACUCUAUAGAGCUUUUUAGGGGGAUAAAACUGCACACUGUAUCAUGCCAGACAUGUUUAUAUUUAUUUAAAAAUAACUAAUUCUCUAACAUGCAUCAUUAGUCCUUACUGCUACAAUACAAACUGUGGACUCUGCCCUUACUGUCUACAUGGAUCAGUCUUCAGUCACGGUGGUGCCCUUAUGGGAAUACGUAUAGUUGUACAAGUGGCACGAUUUAACAGACUGCCCAGGAAAAUAACCAAUAAAGGGAGACGUGGUCAGAAACAGGUCAGCUGAAUAUUGUGGAAAGUUCUAGAAUUCUAUAAAGUGGAAAAGAUUCUGGGGCAACCCAAGCUGGUGUGGCUUCGUUUUAACAGUAUACGUAGCAAUGAAAUAUACACAUAAAAAAUAACUAAGCCUUGCCCCUUCACAGAGUGGAGCUACAUUCAGCAAAUAUACUCAGAAUAGACAGUGAUCCAUUUAUUACAGCAUGCCCGCUUUGACAGUUGGAUUUGCAGAGGGGCAAAGGACGUGCCAUUAAUAGAGUUAUGCUGUGGGCACAAGUCACCCACCUCCUCCCUUGCCCACCUGGAAAUUUGUGAACCUAGCAACACCUUUACAGAAUGUGUUACUGUAGUGGAGUCAGGCAUGUGUUUAUGGCUAUCUCCCCAGUAAUAGUGCUUACUGUGUCUAGAGAAGUGACAGUUACACUUUAAAAUGUUGAGAAUGGUUUAAUGCGGUGGUUAAUUACAUUCCCGUGAUUACUGGGACAUGGUUGUCAGCUGUGCUAGGACAAAAUGGAGACACUAAACUCAGAGGGGCUUUAUAACACUGGGAGGCAUUCGGUUUGCUGUGCAAUCUACUUAAUUAUAGUUUCUUCAGGAGCUAAUAGCUGUGUGAGGAUGAUGGGAAACAUUUGCCAUGUUUGCCAUCAGUGCGUUACUUCCUCGCCAGGUUUAAUCCCACUGUGUUUUAUUGGAAAGCAAUGUGUACAACAAUAUGAUAUUUCAACUGAUCACACAUUUGUUUACAAUCUAUCGGUUUCGAACACAGGCCUUGAGCCCAGUACAGGGCUUGUUUUUGGUUUAUAACGUAUUCUGUAUUGUGUGAGUGUUUUCACAGUAAUCACAGUCUAAAAUAAGCAGAUCCAAUUUCUGCUGGUAAAAUAACUAAAUUUAGACAACGUUAUUAACUUGAAAGCAGGCGCAACGCUUGCCCUUAAUCAAUCUCCAUAAUAUACAGUGAGAUUGCAAAACGUGAGAUCACAGGACAUUCUAUUUCCGUUUAUGUUGAAGGUUAUUAUGCAGUAGUGAUGACCACCAGUAAAGUAUGGAAUUAACCUGUUUUGUUCCAAAUUGACACUGAUGUUUUGUGUGUUCCUCGAAGCAUGUAAAAAACUGAUAUUUUGAAUAUAGUGAACAUGUGUAUUUGUUGUAUUAUGUUAUAUUGUUGUAACAGUGCUUAUUUUCACAAUGUUUGUUUUAAUUUACCACCCAGUAAUUAUGAGUUUAGUGACAUGGAUUCCAGAUGUCAUCAGCUCGGUAGACGUGUUCAUUUAGUUAAUGCACAGAAAAGUCUGCUAAUUCUCAGCGUAUUCGGUAAUUGGGACUAUGUGAUUUGUGUAAACGGUUUAUCAACAGCCGUUAACAUGUUAUUAGUUAUCAGAAGACAGAUUACGAUCGAGGUAACGCUUGUCAAUACUGGGGAUUUGUUUUAUGCCGAUACGUCUUGGAGGCACGAGUAGAGAAAAAAGUUACAUUUAGGAGGCAAUAGUGGAUCAUUUCUGUGCAGAUUACAGCAUUUUUGAAGGCUUAUGGGGUCUGUGUAUAGUCUAUUAGGACGACUUUAAAUAUUACAUUUGUGUAGCAAUAUAUUGGAAAUAGGGAAUUAUCUCUUACAGGGACACAUUUUGUAAUAAAUAUAUUGGGCACAAUAAUCACUAUAGCUUACUGUAGGGGCUGAGGUGCUCAGAUUGCUUUGCUAUCCCAAUGUACGUAGUCAGCCGUUUGGCCUCUUCUCUGGGGUCCGAGAAGUGCCGAUCCCUGCCAUUUUGAGCUAAGUCAAGGUUUUUAGGUGCUGGUUACUAAACUACGUUUCCACCAUCCAUCCAUUUUCUUUAAUAUUCUACAGACAUAACGCUCAAUUCCUCCCUUCCACCCUCACAGAUACAUAUACACCCCAUGCAUGUCUACUUAUUGACACCUCACAGCAGAGCAUCAGGGCAACCAAUUACUGUAUUUACAGAAUAACAAAAUAAAGCUCUGGUAAUUAGAAAAUAAUAACCUCUGUCACAAAGGCAUUUAUUUUAUUUGACCCAUCAUCUCUUAUAACAUUGUGUGCUAUUAUUAAAGAUCAUUUAAGCUAAAUAACAAAAUGUUUGCCAGAUUUAUGUUUUAAAAUAUGUUUUUAACUAUUUUUUUUUUUUAUUGAUUGGAUACUGAUUGAAGGGUCACUAAUUAACAUAACAAUUUUAAUUCAUAUUAAACGUUAUUCUGCUUCAUCUGUUGACUUGAUUGGGGCUGUGAACAGGAUGACAACAGUGGUAAUUUGAUUUCUUUAACCCCUUAAGGACACAUGACAUGUGUGACAUGUCAUGAUUCCAUUUUAUUCCAGAAGUUUGGUCCUUAAGGGGUUAAGCUUAUUCUGCAGUUUCACUCAUUCUAUGCGAUGAGUGAAACUGAGACUUGGAAUAAAACGGCGUAUCCCAUAAAUCUAUGGGGGUCAGGGGUUAAUAAGACAAGAAAAAAUAUAGACAAGAAUGACAGACUCGUGAUUGGUAGACCUUCUUCCUGGUCUGGGGGCGUCUAACUCCUCAUGCAUUUGCCUGUGUAAAUGCUGAAAAUGUAUAAACAUUCGCUAUCUGUUUAUAAUAUCUGUUUUGUCCUUUUAUUUAUUUAUUUUUAUUACAUUUUCUUCUUUACUUAUUUGUAUGCAUUAUCUCCUUAUUGCAUUGAAGAGAUUGGAAAUUGCAGGUCACUUACUGUUACUACAAUCAUUCCUGUAAGUGCUAAUAAUCAUUUUGUUAAAUAACCAGUUGCAGUCUGUAAAAUGUCACCUUACCAUUGCCAACCCCGACUGGUAAUGAGAGCUGCCAUGUUGAACCAUUGUUUUUUAUCUUUAUCUUUGUCAUUACAGCUCGAACAGUUUGUUUUGGGGUGGGGUGAAGAAGAGAGGGAUCAUGGGUAAUACAAAUAGAUUUGCCUUAAAAUGCUCUGGCUUUGCAUUUUCAGAAGGCAAUUGUGACGUAAUAUAUAACACAGUUAAAAGUUGAACUAAUCUAUUUCGCUAUUCCUCUUUAAGGGAUAACUACAGUGAAUAAUUACAUUUUAAUAUUUUUAUUUAUGUUAAUAAUAAAAUGUUCCUUUGUGAAGCUGUAAUGGCAAUACUGAUGUAAAAAAUGUUUUUCUUCAAUCGUUCAUUUUUUAUGACAGUUCCCCGUUCAGGGGUACACGUGUUUAUUCUCAUUUCUGCAAUGGGGAACCUUACACGUCAUGGGCUACGUACCCUCUGCUAGUCAGAGUGUGCGACUUUUCCUGUCCUCAUAAUAAUGAGGUCAGUCUCAAAGAUUAAUGUGUGAUAAAGAAGCUGCUAUUCACUGUUUAGAUAAUAAAUUACUAUAAACUAUGCGCAUGCCACCUUGAGGAGAUUUUAAUUUUCCAUGUACUAAAAUGUUAAUGGAUUACUCCAAUCAUCAUUAACGACUAAAGCCUGCUAUAGUGGUGAUGUGUGGUGCACCCUGGCCUGGUUGCCCUCUUUGCUGGCCCCUGCCAGGCUCUGAUGUUCCCUUGUGGUCCAGUGACAGACUUCCUGCUCCUGCAGAACCGCUGAAGUUAGAAGCCACUCCGUCUCUCAGCCAGUUAAUGUAAUUCUGUGCAAUGAAACUUCACUGAUGGCACCCCAAUAUUUCAGCCAGAGGUGGUUUUACACCUCGGGCAGCAAAGCGAUUAAACUCUAUAUGUUUAGCAUUUUAUAGCAAAACGCUGCACAUACAGUCUUCAUGCACCAUGACCACUUCAAUCCCUGAAAUGUUCAUGGCGAUUUGAGUAUUCCUUUAAAUCGCUAAAAAGCACAAUGUAUUCUGCGUUACUACUGAAUUUAACACAUUAUCAGCCGCUGAUUUUAAGAACACUAUUCUAGGUGGAUUUUCCUCUUAGUUUUCAUAAAGUUAGAAAAGUGUUUUUUUCAUUAUAAUUUUUUAUAUAUUUAUUUAUUUUAUGUGGCGGUGACCGCCUUGGAGUUACAUCUGCUUUUCCUCUUUUUUAUAGUUUCAGUGAGUUUAACUCCCCACACAGAGAUUCCACUAUCAAUCAGAACUGAGGAAUUUCUGAGUUGAGCUGAUUAAUUCCCAAUCCCCCCUUUUCUCUGUCCACUAGGAAUGGAUUGCUGAGCUAUAUUGUGCGAUGAUGAAGUAUAUCAACUGUACUCAAUGAAAAUCACUGCAAGUCCCACUUCGCUAUGGUUAUUUUAUAAAAGUUUCAGAAACAAAAAAAAAAGACAAAAACUUUUUUAACAGUUUUAAAAAUGAUCAACACCGUUUCAUCUGCUGUUACAGUGUUGUGUGACGGUGAAAGGGGUGUUUUGUUAAGUUCCAAUAAUAUUUUGUUGUCAUCACUGCCUAGUCCCCAAUGAAACAAUGCCUGUACGCAAUGUUUGCUAACUCGGUAUUAGCUGCUCUAUGCCAGCCUGACACAUUUAUUGGGUCAUCUAUGAUCUUUAAAAGAUGGUUUGUUGUGGUGCAAUUAUUCUGUCAUUAAUCAUUAAGGGCUUAAAAUAUAAAAAUGUAUAAUUAAAGCACAAUCUCUGCUGUUGGUCGGGUGAGCUGCAAGCAGGCACCCAGCGACUUUAUAUCCAGUAAUUAACUGCAGUGCACAUUAUCCAUAGAUGAUCUUGCAAGAAAAAGUGUCUGUGGUGUCAAAGAAUUAUGGGUAAUUUGCACUAGACAUGGCGGCACAUUACAGAGCAUUAUGGGAACUACAGUCUACAACCAGCUGCAGAGUCAGAGCGUGGCGAGCAAUGCUAUUUGUAUGUGUUUGUCAUAAGUUAACAUCCAUUAUCAGACAACAACGUGUGUUUAAGAGGCACCCACCAUAGUGACAUGUACCUAACUGAAAUCAAUCCAAUCCAAUCAUGGGGUAUGUAAAGAAAGGCACAGUGAUCAGUGAAAACAGGAAGAUACAACUCUAUUCAUACAACAAAAAAUGUUUUCCUUGUAUAAUGUUGUGUUGUUUUUUUUUUUAACAAACUAAUAACAGAAAUUUACAAAUUCAAAUUGAGUAAAUGAGUGACAAGCCUUGCAAUGCUAAACAGAAUGUAAUGUAUAAAUCUCUCUUUAAUGAUGCUUUGCUCCAGCACUGAUAUUUACCCUGCAGAGAGACUAAUUUAUCUGCCUAGAUUCUAUUCUCUUACACUGAUGCUGAAAGGCAGUCAGUUCUCUGAAACCUUUGUAAGUCAAACUUCAUGGCUGCUUUCCGGCAACCAGUUGGUGUGACUUUGAGCACAGUGUUAUCAGCUUUUAAGGUUUUCCUUUUUCAGGUAUGUGUGAUCAGCAAUCUAUACAUUUAAUAGCUGUUUUAUCCUAUUGUUAUGUACUUACAAUGUGUCCCAUGCAUCCAGAUAAAUGCUGUAUAAUUAGAAUGAAAAGCUCUUGGUAAUGAUGGGGUUAAACUAUUUUUUUUUUUUUUUGCAUGUCUGUAAAUGAAAAUAAAGGCAAGUGAAGCCUGUGCAAAUCUGUUGAUUAAAUUGGAAGAUAAGGGCCAGCUUAAGAGUAUAAAUAAAACAUUCUGUUUUCUUUCCAAAGCCGCAGUUAUUAUGGAGAGACAUGAGAAAAUCUAUUCAGUAGAAGCACAAAGUGGGAACAUUAUACAAUGUAACAUAAUUUCAGCACGGUGCCACCAUGUACCAACCGGUCCUCUACGUUUUCUAAGCUGUAUUUUCCCUGGUUUGCUAUGUUUCUGGUUUAGAAUUGUAAAU